AGCCUGCCCAGUGACAAAGUUCAACGGCCGCGGUACCCUAACCGUGCGAAGGUAGCAUAAUCACUUGUUCUUUAAAUGAGGACUCGUAUCAACGGCACUACGAGGGCUAUACUGUCUCCUUUUUCUAAUCAGUGAAACUGAUCUCCCCGUGAAGAAGCGGGGAUCAAAAUAUAAGACGAGAAGACCCCAUGGAGCUUUAAACUCACUAUACACCUCUGUGCCUUUAUGCCACUAGACACAAGAGAUCUGCGUACUAGUUUUAGGUUGGGGGGACCACGGAGUAUAAUUUAACCUCCAUAACAAAUGGGCUAACACCCUUAUCUACGAGACACAACUCUAAGAAUUACUAAACUAAUGCUUAUGACCCGAUAUUCGAUCAAUGAACCAAGUUACCCUGGGGAUAACAGCGCAAUCUACUUCAAGAGCCCAUAUCGACAAGUGGGUUUACGACCUCGAUGUUGGAUCAGGGUAUCCCGGUGGUGCAGCCGCUACCGACGGUUCGUUUGUUCAACGAUUAAAACCCUACGUGAUCU
rnacentral:rRNA from 1 species